AAAUAGCUGGGAGCUAGAGCCUCACUAGAGGGUCUAAAACUGAGCUAAAUAUUUCCUGGUUUCUUGAGAGAUGUUGGGGACGGGAGAGGGGCGGUCGCUAAAACGUUCACAUUGUCAGGACAGUUAGUAGGCUUUCUCCCAGCCAAAAUCUUAGCUUAGCUGUGAAGAAGACUGCAGUCACGUAGCACUUGGCACCCAGGGAUCUCAAAGAACUUUAUGCAUCAUUUAUCUUGAGCCUUGUUUUGCAAAAGACCAAUUACCUAAGGCUUGGGCUGGAGGUAGAGGUAGAUGUUUGAGCCAGAUUUACACCAUUAAUCGAGGUAGGGGGAGAAAGACACAAAGCCUCCGGUUUAGCGGUUUCCUCCUCCCUCUGAAGCACCUUCUCGCAGUCCUCUCAGCAAUGAAAGUUCCUUUAUUCGUCCAGCACGAAAAGGCCAAAGAAACAGGGUUAUCCUUUCACCUAACAGCCCUUUCUGGGGCAGUUGCUCAGAAACAUGCAGAGCAUAGAGCCUUGGCUUGGAAGGAAGGUUUGGAAGGAAGAACAAAUCGUCUGUAAACUAUUGGGCUGGACUUGCCUCUUCCAAAGCUAAAAAUGUCAGCCUGGUUAUUAUAAAGAGAAUGCGACUCAGAGGCUAAUUGACUUGUGAAUCCUGGAUCACACUUUUAAGAGGGAAGAAAACAAAAGUCACUUCUUCAGAUUUCGCACAGAACAAGGAGAAACUCCCUUUUGUUGUGUGGUUCUGAAGGACGCGGAGCAGGCCAUGUUACUACAGACGAAGAAAAGAAUGUCUACAGCGAAGGGGACACCUGAGAGGUCGCACGCUUAGUGGGAUCAUGGUAGAAGUUCAAAACAUCAACGUGAGAAAAAUCAGUGAAACUGAGGACUAAAGUCGGAAGUAUGGGUGACGCAAGGAAUUAAAGGGUUUGCGAAUCAAGACA